UACAGAGGGUGCGAGCGUUGUCCGGAAUUAUUGGGCGUAAGAGCUCGUAGGCGGUGUGUCGCGUCGGCCGUGAAACCUGCAGCUUAACUGUGGGCUUGCGGUCGAUACGGGCAUCACUGGAGUUCGGCAGGGGAGACUGGAAUUCCUGGUGUAGCGGUGAAAUGCGCAGAUAUCAGGAGGAACACCAGCGGCGAAGGCGGCGCUCUGGGCUGGAACUGACGCUGAGGAGCGAAAGCGUGGGGAGCGAACAGGA
rnacentral:rRNA from 1 species